rnacentral:rRNA from 1 species
GAUGAACGCUGGCGGCGUGCUUAACACAUGCAAGUCGAACGAAGCGCCUUAUUUGAUUUUCUUCGGAACUGAAGAUUUGGUGACUGAGUGGCGGACGGGUGAGUAACGCGUGGGUAACCUGCCCUGUACAGGGGGAUAACAAUCAGAAAUGACUGCUAAUACCGCAUAAGACCACAGCACCGCAUGGUGCAGGGGUAAAAACUCCGGUGGUACAGGAUGGACCCGCGUCUGAUUAGCUGGUUGGUGAGGUAACGGCUCACCAAGGCGACGAUCAGUAGCCGGCUUGAGAGAGUGAACGGCCACAUUGGGACUGAGACACGGCCCAAACUCCUACGGGAGGCAGCAGUGGGGAAUAUUGCACAAUGGGGGGAACCCUGAUGCAGCGACGCCGCGUGAGUGAAGAAGUAUUUCGGUAUGUAAAGCUCUAUCAGCAGGGAAGAAAAUGACGGUAC